rnacentral:tRNA from 16 species
GGGGGCGGUCUUCAAAUCUGCUUUCUCAAAAAAUUUGUUCGGGUUCGAU